rnacentral:lncRNA from 1 species
GUCAUUUUAAUCGUAAUCGAAGGAAAACUGGUCAUCGUUUAUAUAAGCUUUGGAUUUCAAAUAUUUUGGCCACGAGCAUCACUGAAGAGACAUGUAUUGUCGAAAUGCGCAUCUGGUGCAGGAAAAUUGGUACCGUUAAUUUUAUUAAACCAUUUUACUUAGGGAAAAAAAUCGGCGGCCCCAAAACCCUGCCUCCCCUGAAUUCGAACCCUAGUUACGGCCCUG